rnacentral:rRNA from 1 species
UCAUUAUCUUUUUAAUUGAAAGCUGGAAUGAACGGCUAGAUGAGAAAUUAACUGUCUCUUUAUACUAGGUAGAAAUUAACUUUUAAGUGAAAAGGCUUAAAUUUAUUGGAGGGACGAUAAGACCCUGUAAAAUUUAUAUAUUUUUUUUAUUAAAAUUAUAGAGAUUUGAAGUUUAAUUUAUUUAAUAAAAUAAAUAUUUUGUUGGGGAGACACAAAUAUAAUUAUUAAAUAACUGUUUGUUUA